rnacentral:rRNA from 1 species
AUACGUAGGGGGCGAGCGUUGUACGGAAUGAUUGGGCGUAAAGGGCGCGUAGGCGGCCCGGUAAGUCUGGAGUGAAAGUCCUGUUUUUAAGAUGGGAAUUGCUUUGGAUACUGUCGGGCUUGAGUGAAGGAGAGGUAAGUGGAAUUCCCAGUGUAGCGGUGAAAUGCGUAGAGAUUUGGAGGAACACCAGUGGCGAAGGCGCAUCGCUGGUCGGUAACUGACGCUGAUGCGCGAAAGCGUGGGGAGCGAACAGGAUUAGAUACCCUGGUAGUCCACGCUGUAAACGAUGAGUGCUAAGUGUUAGAGGGUUUCCGCCCUUUAGUGCUGCAGCAAACGCAUUAAGCACUCCGCCUGGGGAGUACGGUCGCAAGACUGAAACUCAAAGGAAUUGACGGGG